rnacentral:tRNA from 1 species
UCCUUCAUAGCUCAGUUGGUAAAGAAUCUGCUUGCAAUGCAGGAGACCCUGGUUUGAUUCCUGGGGGGAGAA